ACACACACACACACACACACACACACACACACACACACACAAACACACAUACACACACUGUUGUUUAGUUUCAGACUUGUGCCUGUGUGAAAAUUAGUUGAAUCUAUUCCCUAUAUACUGUGGUUGCUGUAGAAACCUGUUCAGUUUGUAGUAUCUUUGAUUUAUAUAUAGUGUUGUUGUGUUAAAUAGUUUUCUCCAUGUCCCAUUAUCUUAGUCUUGUCUUUUUCUUAUAUGUUAUAUAUAUGUGAUCUUACCCUGUUAUUUCCCUUUCGCUGUUGUUGAUCUUCUGUGUUAGAAUCUUAUAUUCUCAAGAAUUGUGAAAAUAUCAAAAAGACAGUGAACAAUAUCUUAACCUUUCCUAUACUUGUUUGUUUCUUCAUUCUCUAUAAUCUUCGGGAACAACUUUGUUUAGUUUAGGUUUAUAUUUCCUUGCAAUCAUCAUCUAAAUUCUGUCACCUAGCUUUAGCCGAGCGUAGUUGUCGUCGCCUAGUCCCUGUGGAGAACACGACAUCCGUAGUUUGGGCGUAAAACCCCCACUAUAAUACAAUUGAUCAUUUUGGCGACGUUGCCGGGGAACUAGCGUCGUGCGGCCGUGUUAGGCUAUAGACUAGGUUUUUCUUGUUUUCAUUUUGUGACAUAUAUUUGUGAUAUAUCUCUAGCCACUAACCCCUGUUCUAGUUAGUAUCUUUUUGUCUUCUUUUCCUUUUUUGCAGGUUGGAUUAUCCUCUUGGAAAUGGCAUUCUAUUCAGAUCAUCAGGCUUAUGCGAGGAACACUACAAACAGCACGGAAAGUAUUCAAGAAUUGAUAAGUAAGAUUUCCCAUCAAUUAGAUGAUUUAGCUCGGCAGCGAGAAGUAGUUUUUGGGGAUAGGAUGUUAUGUGGGGCCGUCACUAUGAAAAGAGAAAGAAGGACUCGGCAACAACAGAGUCCAGAUAGAUUACAUCAAAGUUUGUUUGGAAACCUAAGUUUGUUAGGAGAGUCGGUUUGGUCUACAAUAUGAGAUAUUGAGUUUGUUAGGGACUAGCUAGUAGCUUGAAUAAGGGGCAAACGCCAUCAGUUUAUAUAUAUAUAUAUAUAUAUAUAUAUACACACACACACACACACACACAUGUAUUGGAGGAAUCAAGCAAUAUAUCAAUCUAUUUCCUAUCUCCCUCAGUCAAGCGUGGAGCAGGCCAGGCCAAGACCUUGCCCCUCCAUCGUCCUUACCUCGUCAUUACCUUGGCUAACGCCGGCCAUAACAUCUGGUAUCAGACGUCCAGGUGUUCCAGUACCCAUGGUGGACGACAACGCCAAGUCUGACUCUAGUGGCUCCAAGGAUGAUCAAGAAACCAAGGCCCUCGUGAUCGAGAUCCUGCAGAAGUUUGAGCGCCUUGAGGCCUUGGAGGAGCGUUUGGGUCGCAUCGAGACCGGCCAAAAGCAGAUGAUUCUCCACACGCAAGCACCCGAGAUCCUCCAACAACGCAAAGACGGACCGAUGGGGAACACCCGCUUCCACAAGUUGGAUUUUCCAUCGUUCGACGACACGACAGAUCCUCUGCCCUUCCUCAACAGAUGUGAGCACUACUUCCGUGGACAGCGCACCAUGGAUGAGGAGCAUGUAUGGCUCGCUGCCUUGCACCUUCACGGCACCGCGCAACAGUGGUAUAUGCGCCUUGAGCGCGAUGAGGGCACGCCAUCUUGGCGACGCUUCUCUGAACACUGGACCUCCGGUUUGGACCACCGUUGCGUUCCUAUCCCUUGGGCGAGCUAGCGGCCUGCCGGUGCACCGGUUCUGUGGCAGAUUACCAAGAGCGCUUCCUUGCACUGCUCACCCGUGCAGGCCCACUGAACGAGAGUCAGCAGGUCCAAUUCUUCACGGCUGGCUUGCAAGAACCCCUCUCCAUCGAUGUCCAGCUUCAGGGACCGCAAUCCCUGGAGAUCGCUAUGAGUUUGGCACGCUCCUUUGAGCAUCGGGAACAGGCCGUUGCCACAACGGCCGCUUCAUCCGCGCCACCUUCCCGGUCCUAUCAUGCUCCGGCUCAGCGUGGCCUCCUACCCCCUCCUGCGGCAGGCACUCCUCCAACACCACCAACUCAGGCGUUGGCCGGCCAGCCAAAUCCACCUGGUCUCGUCACAUUAGCUGGGCGCACGGUUUGCCGUUUGACACCCGAGGAAAUUGACGAGCGCCGCCGCACUGGGCAGUGCUUUAACUGUGAUGACAAGUAUGUACGGGGGCACAAUCGUGUCUGUAAGCGUCUGUUCCACCUGGAGAUAGCAGAGGCGGAUGAUGGCAUGGACACCGAAGAUGGGAUGGACGACCCCAAGAUCUCAAUGCAAUUGCCGGUGUUGCGUCCUCCGAGACGAUGCAGGUUCUGAUCCGCCUUGGCGGAGCCUCUCUGCGCGCAUUAUUGCACACGGGCUCCACCCACAAUUUCGUGUCCACCGCAGCAGCAGAGCGCGUCCAGCUGCCAUUCCAACCAAAGGAGGGCUUGCAUGUUAUGGUGGCUAAUGGCGACUGGGUUCCCUGCUCUGGUGUGUUUCGCCGUGCACCGUUUUCCAUCACUACUGAGGCUUUUGAAGCUGAUUUCUACGCACUACCUCUCGAUGGAUAUGAUGUGGUACUUGGCACCGACUGGCUCACAACAUUGGGGCCGGUCCUCUGGGACUUCAGCCGCCUGUCCAUGACAUUCUGGCACGGGAGCUCUAGUGUUACUUGGCGCGGCAUCGCUGGUGUCAGGACCCCGACUCGAUGUCACAUCGAUCUAGCCGGUAACACUUCAUAUCACUUUGCGGCCUCACGCACGGUGUUCCCACGGGUGUCGCCUUACCUUUGCCCGGGACCGUUUGCGCCUUUUGGCUCACGUAUAUGAUAGUGUCGCUAGCAUCCAUAUGAUAAAGAGCCCGGGCUGACAUGACUAGUCGUAAACCCAAAGUGGCACAGACUUACAGGGACAGGCAUCCAUGACCCAGCUUCGAACGUGUCGGUCAACAGCAAGUGGGUCCGGGCUGUAGCACUGGGCUAGCAGGACUCCGGUAAACCGGGCUGUAGCGGGCUAACAGGACUCCGGUACUCAAAGCAUGACAUUUCCCCGAAGGGACAGACACAGGAACGAAGAAGGACACAUGCCGGCCAGCCUAAGUGUUCCAGAGCAGUAGCAAGCUACCAUGGCUCAGCGGUAACACUAGGAGACAUUUCCCGGUAAGAGAGGCUACUAAAGAUAAACAACUAGAUAGUCAGAUCCCACACAUACCAAGCAUUUCAAUCAUACACACAAUAUGCUCGAUAUGUGCAAAUACAACGAAGCAUCACAACAUGACUCUACGACACAAGUACUUUAUUUAAGGCUCAGGGAGCCAUACAUAACAUACACCAAGGUACGGGUCUCACGACCCAACAUACAAGUCAUACAGUCAUACAAACCAGCAGCGGAAGUAACUUGUCUGAGUACAGACAACUAGUAAAAUAAAAGAGGCUUGGAAAGCCUAGCUAUACUACGUGGUCCUUCACAAGCUCAGGGUCACCACCUGGGUCUUUAGCCUACUCGUUGAUGUCAACAUCUACAUAGAACCCAUCAGAAGGGGUUGCAGCGUCUUCUGUAAAAUGUAGAUUAUAGCAACAUGAGUAGAAAGGUACUCAGCAAGACUUACAUCAGAUCCUACAUACAUGCAUGUUAUCAAGAAGGGUUGGUGGAGUUAUUGCAGCAAGCCAGCUUUGACUCUUGGCUAGGCUAUCCUACGAUACUCCAACUUGAAAUGGUUUUGCGCACACGAGUCCACUACUCACCAAUUCAAUACACUUCCGAGGAUCCACCUCCGUCUUCCUACGGAAGAGCCAUCCUCGGCACUCACACUUAUCUUGAGGCUUUUAGCAGUUUCCAUUUACUUGUCUAUGAACUGUAUAGGCAACCAAGUAGUCCUUUACCACGGACGCGGCUAUUCGAAUAGAUUAUGAUAACCCUGCAGGGGUGUACUUCUUCAUACAUGUUUCCACCACUUAGCGUCUACACACGACAUGUGCUCGGCAGACUUCAAGCGAAAGCCGACGUGGGUGUAGACCACGACCUACCUAAACACUUAAGCCUCUAGUACAGGUUUAUCGCCUAUUCAGGUUCCAUCCGCAGGGAGUCCGGCCGAGGUUUCCCAUACGGCCCCGAACGAUGUGAACAGGGUUCCCGGGAUACCUAACGGGUAUUCGGUACACCGUGCCACGUACCUACCGCAUCACAGCCCACCCCUACGGUCAGCGCUGUCCACGGUCUCCAGUAGGCUACAAACACCAGAAACUACUUGCAACUCCUGGACAGAGAGCUAGGGUGAAUAAGAAGUCGAGCGGGGUCAUAUUUCAGGGCCCAAUGCAUGGUAGUAGCUGUAUCUUAAAUCACACAUACAGAUCUCAGUGCUUAAGAUCGGCUUCAAUGAAACAACCCACCAUGUACUCCUACAUGGCCUCUCAUCGAUACCUUUACCAAAUCGUGUUCACCACACCACUCUCAUUUUCGACAUAAUCAUUUCACUCUAGCCAUCACCCAGAUGAACCAGACCUGACACAACUCUAAGCAUAGCAGGCAUAGCAAGGUAGGAACAACACAUACAUAUGGCUCAAUCAACUCCUACACAUGCUAGUGGGUUUCAUCUAGUUACUGUGGCAAUGACAGGUCAUGCAGAGGAAAUGGGUUCAACUACCGUAGCACACAGCAGUUUGAAACGCGUUGUCUUAAUGCAGUAAAAGAGAGCAGGAGCGAGAACAUGGGAUUGUAUCGAUAUGAUCAAAUGGUUGGUUGCUUGCCUGAUGGUUCGAUGCACUGAUACGGUUCUUCGUUAGGGUAAACACGGUACUCCUCGGAGGCAGAACCUGUCGCAAAGGACACCGAUACACAACCAUCACCAAACAAUGUGCAACAAUAUGAUGCAUGCAUGAAACAUGGCAAUAUGAGUGUGUUGGGCUAAUGCAACUAAAACCAGAAGGGUUUGAACAAAUUUGAAUCAAGGAUUCAAAUUUCAAAUUCAAAUAUGGCCUUUUAAAGUGCUUUUCCUUGUUCUGCUUAAAACAUCAAUUUAACUUGUUUGAUCAUGCAUGAAAAUAGUAGAGAUGGAUAGAUUGGAUUUUUCUGAUCAUUUUUCAUAUAUAAUUUGUCCAAUUUGGAGUUACAGAAUAAAAGUUAUGAAUUUUUGAAGUUUAAAUAAUAUUCUGGAAUUUCCUGAUUUAAAUUAAAUCCAGAAAUUAUAAUUAUUGCGCCAGCAUGACGUCAGCAUGACGUCAGUGGUCAACUGUGGCUGGCUGAGGUCAAACCUGACGUGUGGGGCCCACACGUCAGUGACAGGGGGUUAAAUAGGGUUAGUUUAAUCCUAAUUAGGGGUUAGUGGCGCUGGGGCCCACUGGUCAGUGUCAGGGGUUAACUAACAGUGGUUAGCGCUAAUGAUGUCCACCUGGCCGACGGGGCCCACGCGUCAGUGACCCUGGGGGGGUCAAACCCCAGGUCGGACAAGUCAAACCCCACCGGCGACAUGACGCCGGCGAGGUCCGAGACGGCGGCGUGAUGCGGGAUCGCGCUACAGGGCACGGGCGAGGCUGUGCUUGGGCUCGUUGGAGAGCCCUUGCUCCCGCGCGUCGAACGGUGGUGGUGGCCGAGCCUGGGGUGGCCGGUACCGUCGACGGCGAGCUCGUGAGCGGCGGCCGGAGUUCGGGUGCGGUCGGAGUCGGCGUUGCAGGGUGUUUGGGGAGGCGUUGGUGCGUGCUGCGUGCUCCUAGUGAGGCGUGGAGCACGAUAGUGUGCUCGGUUGGGCGCUACGGUGACCGUGGCCACGACGGCGACAUCGCCGGCGGCGUGGAGCUCUCGGCCAAGGUGGGGCUAAGGCCUAGAGGUCGAAAGAGACCAGGGGAGAAGGGGGAAACGACUCGGGGGCUCACCGCGGUUGCAGUGGGCGUCGAAGCGGGCUCGGAGACGCGCUGGAGACGGCGAAUUCGACGGCGAUGAUGGUCGGAGCCCGAAGGGGGGAACGGCGACGUGGCGGCGAUGCAGGGCUUCUGGAGGCCCGUGGAGCGGUGGGGAGGAAGAGGGGGUUGUGGCGGAGCUUCUGAGCUAGUCGGGGGAGCGAGGGGUGGCCGGAGACGGCUGCUAUGGCGAACGGCGGCGACGGUGAUGUUCGGCCGUGUGAGAGAGAGAGCGAGGGAGAGGAGGGAAGAGCCGAGGGCGAGUGAGAGAGAGCAGGGGGGGAGGCGUGGCGUCGUCCGGGGCAUCGAGCGAGGAGGGGAGGGCAGGCAAGCAGGGAGAGAGGUGGCGUGGCGCGGUGGCGCGCGCGCGCGCCGGCCACACUCCCCUCCCUCUGUUGAGGACGAAGACGACAGAGGAGGGAGGUGGGCUGGGCCGGCUGCUGGCUGGGCCGGCCAGCUGGCUGGGCUGCACAGGGAGGAGCCCAGGUAAGCUUCUCCCUUUUAUUUUUUUCUGUUUUCUAAUUUGUGACAUUCGUUUUGAUUUAAAUAAUAUAUUAAAUCAUUUAUUUAACUUAUGCCAAUUUUUGCAGGGGCUAGAUAUAUUAUUUCAGAGCUCCUUUAUAAAUGGCAUAAUAUUUGGACAUAUAUUAAUAUAUAUAAUUAAUAUUUUUCCAAAGCAAAUAUUUAUGCAUUAAUUCCAAAUGCCCAAAAUAAAUACCUAUGAGCUCUUAAAAAUAUUGGUUUGAUUAUUAUCUCUGUCCAAUAUUUUCAGAGAGCAACAUGAGCAUUUUCUUGGACCCUUUUGGAGAAAUUUUUAUUUGGGUCAUUUUCAAAAUGAUUCUGAGGGUUUCACAAAUCCCCAUUUCAAUUUAAAUGGAAUUUUAAACAUGAUGCACACACUCUGAUGCAUGACUAGCUAGGGUGUGACAACUCACCCCCACUCAAAAGAAUCUCGUCCCAAGAUUUGGGUUCCUCCGGGAAGAAGGCGGGGUACUCGAGUCGAAGACGAUCCUCCCUUUCCCAAGUUGCUUCAUCCUCAGAAUGGUGCGACCAUUGUACUUUGAGGAACUUGAUGUUCUGACGUCGGGUGAUACGUUCGGCCUGAUCGAGGAUACGAACGGGGUACUCUCGAUAUGUAAGAUUAUCUUGGAGAUCAAGCGUUUCGUGGUCCACUUCACGGAUAGGAUCCGAGAAGCAACGCCUGUGUUGAGAAACGUGGAAGACAUCGUGGACUCUGGAGAGAUGCGGAGGUAGUUCCAACUGGUAGGCAACUUCUCCUCGUUUGGCGAGAAUGCGGAAAGGUCCAAUGUAACGAGGAGCCAAUUUGCCUUUGAUACCGAAACGAUGGGUUCCCUUCAGAGGGGUGACCCGAAGAUAAGCCUUCUCGUCAACCUCGAAAGUCAUAGCCUUAUGUUUUCGGUCAUAUUGACUCUUUUGACGAGAUUGGGCUGUUUUCAACUUUUCACGAACGAUGCGAACUUGUUCUUCUGCUUCCUGAAUCAUGUCCGGGCCAAAGAAUUGUCUUUCCCCGGUCUCUGACCAGUUAAGGGGUGUUCGACACCGUCGUCCAUAGAGAACUUCAAAAGGGGCUUUACCCAAGCUAGAUUGAUAGCUGUUGUUGUAAGCGAAUUCGGCAAAGGGAAGACACUUCUCCCAAUCCAUUCCGAAUGAGAUAACAGAGGCUCGAAGCAUGUCUUCUAGAAUCUGGUUGACGCGUUCCACUUGACCACUCGACUGAGGGUGGAAGGCGGUGCUAAAGAAGAGACGGGUUCCCAUAGCAUUUUGGAAACUUUCCCAAAAUCGAGAGGUGAAAAGACUUCCUCGAUCCAAGUUAAUUUCCAAAGGAACACCAUGGAGGGACACUAUUCGGGAGAUGUAUAAGUCUGCCAGCUGACUAGCAGUUAUACUCUCACGAACAGGUAAGAAAUGGGCUACUUUGGAAAGACGAUCGACCACGACGAAAAUAGCAUUAUUCCCUCUCUUGGUCUUGGGAAAACCGGUAAUGAAAUCCAUACCAAUUUUAUCCCAUUUCCAUUCAGGAAUAGCUAAGGGUUGAAGGGUGCCAGCAGGCCGUUGAUGCUCUGCUUUUACACGACGACAAACAUCGCAAUUUGCAAUAUACUGAGCAAUCUCUCUCUUCAUCCUAGUCCACCAGAAUCUUUGGCGUAGGUCCUGAUACAUCUUAGUACUACCGGGAUGAAUGGUGAGAGGAGAUUCAUGAGCCUCCUUAAGGAUCAACUGCCGUAGAUGCUGAUUCUUGGGAACCACUAGGCGGUUCUCAAAGUACACAACACCAUGAUCAUUUGUGGAGAAAUAACUAGCACCUCCGCUAGCAAUGUUCUCUUUGAUUUUAGAUAUUCCCUUAUCUCGCUUUUGGGCAGCAAUGAUUUGAUCCGUAAGAGUAGGUUUUGCUACCAAAGUGGAAAGAAAUCCUUGAGGAACAAUGUGAAGGUUAAGCUUACGAAAUUCCUCAUGGAGAAUCGGUUGACUUUGUUGUAACAUUAGAUUGUUACAAUAAGAUUUACGACUUAGCACAUCAGCCAUGACGUUGGCUUUCCCUGGGGUGUAGGUUAUCCCUAAAUCGAAGUCUGUGAUCAACUCAACCCAACGUCUUUGCCUGAGGUUCAGAUCCGGUUGGGUGAAAAUGUACUUCAGACUUUGGUGAUCAGUGAAUAUUUCGCAACGAUUACCGAGGAGGUAAUGUCGCCAAGUCUUAAGUGCAUAGACUACGGCUGCAAGCUCUAGAUCAUGAGUAGGAUAAUUCUCCUCAUAUGGGUGCAAUUGCCGUGAAGCGUAAGCAAUUACGUGUCGAUCUUGCAUGAGAAUGCAACCUAGUCCUUGUUGCGAGGCGUCGCAGUAGAUAACAAAGUCCUUGGAGAAGUCUGGCGGUACCAGUACGGGAGCAGAGGUCAGGCGUCUUUUCAGUUCCUGAAAGCUGUGCUCACAUUGUGGAGUCCAUUCGAACUUCUUAUCUUUCUUGAGGAGUUCGGUUAGAGGUUUGGCAACCUUGGAGAAGUUCUCGACAAAGCGACGACAAUAGCUCGCUAAGCCUAGAAAACUCCGAACUUGCUUGACCGAUUCAGGUGGAGUCCAAUUAAGGACGGCUUGAACUCGCUCAGGGUUAACAGCAAUACCUUUACCAGAUAUUACAUGACCUAGAUAGGUCACUUCUGGCAACCAAAAUUCACAUUUAGAAAAUUUGGCAUAAAGGCGAUGCUCUCGAAGUUUCUUCAACACUAGCCUUAGAUGUUCGGCAUGUUCUUCCUCGUUCUUGGAGUAGAUGAGUAUAUCAUCGAGAUAAACUACGACGAAUUUAUCCAAAUACUCCAUGAAGAUUGAGUUCAUUAACCGAGAAAAGGUGGCUGGAGCGUUGGUUAAACCGAAGGACAUGACGGUGUACUCGUAUUGGCCAUAACGAGUAAUAAAGGCCGUUUUAGGAAUGUCCCCAUUUCUGAUUUUGAUUUGAUGGUAGCCCAACCUCAAAUCCAUCUUGGAGAAGACUGAGGAUCCAGCGAGCUGAUCGUACAGGUCGUUGAUCCUGGGAAGCGGAUAUUUGUUCUUGAUUGUGACCAAAUUGACAGGUCGGUAAUCUACAACCAUCCGGUCCGUACCAUCCUUCUUCUUGACGAAGAGAACGGGGCAAGCCCACGGAGAUGAACUAGGUCGGAUGAAACCCUUUUUCAAGGACUCAUCGAGUUGUUUCUUAAGCUCGGCUAGUUCUAGGGGUGCCAUCUUAUAAGGUCUUCUAGCAAUCGGAACGGUUCCUGGAAUGAGGUCUAUUACGAACUCAACAUCCCUGUCAGGUGGAACACCUGGCAAUUCCUCUGGAAAGACAUCCGGGAAGUCACAGACUACCGGCACGUCCUCAAGGUCUGGCAAAGGGCUGGCGUUAAGAGAAUAUAAUUGUCGCUUGGCUAUUCGGGUCAAGACAUUGACUAUCUUCCCCGAAGGAUGGGUGAGUUGAACAGUCCUAGAGAAGCAAUCAAUUUUGGCUUGAUGAGCUGACAUCCAGUCCAUACCCAAAAUGAUAUUAAUAUCUGAAGAUUUAAGGGCUAUCAAAGAUGCGAGAAAGACAAGUCUGUCGACUUGGAUUUCAUUUCCAUGGCUUACUCUAGAGGUUUGCCAUUUGGAUCCCGGAGUUUGAAUUACCAUAGAGGUUGGCAUAUCACCGAAUGCGACGUUAUGCAAGCGAGCAUAGUUUUCAGAUAUAAAAGAAUGAGAGGCUCCUGUAUCGAAAAGAACAGAUGCCGGGUGGCAAUUAACAAGAAGCAUACCGAGAACGACGUUGGGAUCCUCUUGAGCUUCUUCGGCAGAGAUACAGUUGACAUGGCCACGUGAAGCGGUGACCGGCUUGGCGUGGAAUAUUUUUUCUGUCGGCUUGCCACGGCCAACAGCCUUAGCAGAUUGAUUGGGGUUGGUCUGGGGACACUCACGCAUAUAGUGACCAGAUUCCCCACACUUGAAACAAGUCACGGAACUGGUACGUGGAGGAGCAUUGUUAGUUGGACCCCCAUAGGGCUUGGCCGGUGCAGACUGUUGAACAGGGCGAGGCGCCUGGAAAGAUGGCCUCGGUGUGAACCUGGGUGGAUGUAAUUUGAUAAAAUCACUGAGUGACACCACGUUAGCCCUCUGAUUGUGUGUUGUAUUCUGUUCAAUACGCUCCAACAAACGGUUGGUCUCCCGCUUGUUUCUCUCAGCUUCCAUCAUAACCUCGGCUAGUGAAGGAGGAUGAGGCAGAUUUUCAUUCCUGCCUUCACUGCCUUCGGCCUGCUCUUGAGAAGCAGGGUUAGCGCGCGUGUUGACCAUCCUAGGUAAACAAGACAAUGAUUUAGUCAGGAUGACAAGAUUCCGACAUAGGAUAAAAAUGUAAGGAAUAACUCAAAAUGCAAGAUGAUCAUCCGUAUGACAUGGUAGACACAGAAGCUGCUUCUUUAUUCCAUCGUCAUACACACCAUACAGGGUUUAGUACAAGACCAAACAAAGUACUAUUACGGUGAAAAGAGGAUUACAUCUCAUCGGAGGCAUUCCAAGCUCCUAUACAUUAUUUUUCUACACCUCCGGAAAGAGUACAAACUAGGUCAUAUCCCACGAGUCACUCGGGACGAUAGACGACACAGCUAGUGCGAACUAGUGAUACUAUCGCUAACUCAGACCGAUCCGUAGUAGUCCUCGUAGAAGUCACCUCCAUAGCCUGGAAGCUCAACAUGAUCAUCCGGAAACAGACGAUCUCGCGGAGCUUGUGGACCAUAGGGGCUAGGAUGAGGUCUUGGACCAACAGACGGUGGCCUGCGGGGACCGCGAGGUGGGGUGAUGCCUCCUACAUCACGCCAAACCAUCACGUCCGGCAGAGCAGAUCUCACAGGAUAGAGAUCGCGCAUAUCCGAAUAUCCAGCUUGCACCGCCGGUGCGAACCGAGUCAAAGUGGCCUAGUGGUCAGCACGGGUAUUGAAGAGCUCUAACCUUAAGGCCCGAUUUUCACGGUCCUUAUCCUCGAGCAUCUCAGCAGUGGUGCGAGUCCGUGAAUCCUCCUGAGUGGGGUCAGCAUAGAUAGCUUGAAGAUACCCUUGUGCUCCCGGAAGUGAUCCUGGCAUAUACCGGAAAUCAGAGUCCCGAAAUAAACCAGAUCUGACUCGCAUAAUGGUCAUCAUAGAGUAGGCGGCGUCCUACACAGCCAUCUCAAUAGUAACCCCGAGUCCAUAGGAGCAGUGAAGAGGCUCGGUGGAUCCAGGAUAAGAUGAAAAUAUCCUGACAGUGCAGAGAUACUGGCUUUGAUUAAAGUCUCGGAAUUGCUCUUCGACCGUGUACUCAGGAUACCAGCGGUAUCCAGCCUCAGUCAUUACCCUGACCAACUUGGCAGUAUGGCCGGGUACGUCUAGGCAUCGAGUCAGGCGAACCACUUGAUUGAGGUCGCGAGUGGCCAUCUGAAAGCAUAAUCAUAAUGCAAAGGCAUUAGAAUUUCUAGCAAAAUUUCGGCAGCAUAACAGCUGUAAAUGCUCAAGAAGGAUAUGAGACAUUUGACAAAGGAUUUCGUACACACUCAACAUCAUCAUAUCAAAGUUCUGAAUCCAUUCUAACAACAUAAUGUGGUAGUAGAACUGAACUAGGCUUGUAUCCAUCAAACUUAUAAGGUACUACUGAUUAGUAACACGUGAUCCUGAUAGAGAGAACAGAUCCUAAUUCCUUAACCCCCGGUAGAAGAGUGGACUGACUCAGAUCAGAAUGUCAUAAGAUAGAGAAGUAAAAGAGCCUUACGUUCCAACCCACAAACAAUUCCCCUACAUAUAACUAAAGAAUUUCUAGACUCAACAUCGACCAGUUUGGCUUGGAGAACCUACAGGCAGUCCGGCUCUGAUGCCAACGCUGUCAGGACCCCGACUCGAUGUCACAUCGAUCUAGCCGGUAACACUUCAUAUCACUUUGCGGCCUCACGCACGGUAAUCCCACGGGUGUCGCCUUACCUUUGCCCGGGACCGUUUGCGCCUUUUGGCUCACGUAUAUGAUAGUGUCGCUAGCAUCCAUAUGAUAAAGAGCCCGGGCUGACAUGACUAGUCGUAAACCCAAAGUGGCACAGACUUACAGGGACAGGCAUCCAUGACCCAGCUUCGAACGUGUCGGUCAUCAGCAAGUGGGUCCGGGCUGUAGCACUGGGCUAGCAGGACUCCGGUAAACCGGGCUGUAGCGGGCUAACAGGACUCCGGUACUCAAAGCGUGACAUUUCCCCGAAGGGACAGACACAGGAACGAAGAAGGACACAUGCCGGCCAGCCUAAGUGUUCCAGAGCAGUAGCAAGCUACCAUGGCUCAGCGGUAACACUAGGAGACAUUUCCCGGUAAGAGAGGCUACUAAAGAUAAACAACUAGAUAGUCAGAUCCCACACAUACCAAGCAGGACCCCGACUCGAUGUCACAUCGAUCUAGCCGGUAACACUUCAUAUCACUUUGCGGCCUCACGCACGGUGUUCCCACGGGUGUCGCCUUACCUUUGCCCGGGACCGUUUGCGCCUUUUGGCUCACGUAUAUGAUAGUGUCGCUAGCAUCCAUAUGAUAAAGAGCCCGGGCUGACAUGACUAGUCGUAAACCCAAAGUGGCACAGACUUACAGGGACAGGCAUCCAUGACCCAGCUUCGAACGUGUCGGUCAUCAGCAAGUGGGUCCGGGCUGUAGCACUGGGCUAGCAGGACUCCGGUAAACCGGGCUGUAGCGGGCUAACAGGACUCCGGUACUCAAAGCGUGACAGUUCCCCGAAGGGACAGACACAGGAACGAAGAAGGACACAUGCCGGCCAGCCUAAGUGUUCCAGAGCAGUAGCAAGCUACCAUGGCUCAGCGGUAACACUAGGAGACAUUUCCCGGUAAGAGAGGCUACUAAAGAUAAACAACUAGAUAGUCAGAUCCCACACAUACCAAGCAUUUCAAUCAUACACACAAUAUGCUCGAUAUGUGCAAAUACAACGAAGCAUCACAACAUGACUCUACGACACAAGUACUUUAUUUAAGGCUCAGGGAGCCAUACAUAACAUACACCAAGGUACGGGUCUCACGACCCAACAUACAAGUCAUACAGUCAUACAAACCAGCAGCGGAAGUAACUUGUCUGAGUACAGACAACUAGUAAAAUAAAAGAGGCUUGGAAAGCCUAGCUAUACUACGUGGUCCUUCACAAGCUCAGGGUCACCACCUGGGCCUUUAGCCUACUCGUUGAUGUCAACGUCUACAUAGAACCCAUCAGAAGGGGUUGCAGCGUCUUCUGUAAAAUGUAGAUUAUAGCAACAUGAGUAGAAAGGUACUCAGCAAGACUUACAUCAGAUCCUACAUACAUGCAUGUUAUCAAGAAGGGUUGGUGGAGUUAUUGCAGCAAGCCAGCUUUGACUCUUGGCUAGGCUAUCCUACGAUACUCCAACUUGAAAUGGUUUUGCGCACACGAGUCCACUACUCACCAAUUCAAUACACUUCCGAGGAUCCACCUCCGUCUUCCUACGGAAGAGCCAUCCUCGGCACUCACACUUAUCUUGAGGCUUUUAGCAGUUUCCAUUUACUUGUCUAUGAACUGUAUAGGCAACCAAGUAGUCCUUUACCGCGGACGCGGCUAUUCGAAUAGAUUAUGAUAACCCUGCAGGGGUGUACUUCUUCAUACAUGUUUCCACCACUUAGCGUCUGCACACGACAUGUGCUCGGCAGACUUCAAGCGAAAGCCGACGUGGGUGUAGACCACGACCUACCUAAACACUUAAGCCUCUAGUCCAGGUUUAUCGCCUAUUCAGGUUCCAUCCGCAGGGAGUCCGGCCGAGGUUUCCCAUACGGCCCCGAACGAUGUGAACAGGGUUCCCAGGAUACCUAACGGUUAUUCGGUACACCGUGCCACGUACCUACCACAUCACAGCCCACCCCUACGGUCAGCGCUGUCCACGGCCUCCAGUAGGCUACAAACACCAGAAACUACUUGCAACUCCUGGACAGAGAGCUAGGGUGAAUAAGAAGUCGAGCGGGGUCAUAUUUCAGGGCCCAAUGCAUGGUAGUAGCUGUAUCUUAAAUCACACAUACAGAUCUCAGUGCUUAAGAUCGGCUUCAAUGAAACAACCCACCAUGUACUCCUACAUGGCCUCUCAUCGAUACCUUUACCAAAUCGUGUUCACCACACCACUCUCAUUUCCGACAUAAUCAUUUCACUCUAGCCAUCACCCAGAUGAACCAGACCUGACACAACUCUAAGCAUAGCAGGCAUAGCAAGGUAGGAACAACACAUACAUAUGGCUCAAUCAACUCCUACACAUGCUAGUGGGUUUCAUCUAGUUACUGUGGCAAUGACAGGUCAUGCAGAGGAAAUGGGUUCAACUACCGUAGCACACAGCAGUUUGAAANNNNNNNNNNNNNNNNNNNNNNNNNNNNNNNNNNNNNNNNNNNNNNNNNNNNNNNNNNNNNNNNNNNNNNNNNNNNNNNNNNNNNNNNNNNNNNNNNNNNNNNNNNNNNNNNNNNNNNNNNNNNNNNNNNNNNNNNNNNNNNNNNNNNNNNNNNNNNNNNNNNNNNNNNNNNNNNNNNNNNNNNNNNNNNNNNNNNNNNNNNNNNNNNNNNNNNNNNNNNNNNNNNNNNNNNNNNNNNNNNNNNNNNNNNNNNNNNNNNNNNNNNNNNNNNNNNNNNNNNNNNNNNNNNNNNNNNNNNNNNNNNNNNNNNNNNNNNNNNNNNNNNNNNNNNNNNNNNNNNNNNNNNNNNNNNNNNNNNNNNNNNNNNNNNNNNNNNNNNNNNNNNNNNNNNNNNNNNNNNNNNNNNNNNNNNNNNNNNNNNNNNNNNNNNNNNNNNNNNNNNNNNNNNNNNNNNNNNNNNNNNNNNNNNNNNNNNNNNNNNNNNNNNNNNNNNNNNNNNNNNNNNNNNNNNNNNNNNNNNNNNNNNNNNNNNNNNNNNNNNNNNNNNNNNNNNNNNNNNNNNNNNNNNNNNNNNNNNNNNNNNNNNNNNNNNNNNNNNNNNNNNNNNNNNNNNNNNNNNNNNNNNNNNNNNNNNNNNNNNNNNNNNNNNNNNNNNNNNNNNNNNNNNNNNNNNNNNNNNNNNNNNNNNNNNNNNNNNNNNNNNNNNNNNNNNNNNNNNNNNNNNNNNNNNNNNNNNNNNNNNNNNNNNNNNNNNNNNNNNNNNNNNNNNNNNNNNNNNNNNNNNNNNNNNNNNNNNNNNNNNNNNNNNNGGGGGGUCAAACCCCAGGUCGGACAAGUCAAACCCCACCGGCGACAUGACGCCGGCGAGGUCCGAGACGGCGGCGUGAUGCGGGAUCGCGCUACAGGGCACGGGCGAGGCUGUGCUUGGGCUCGUUGGAGAGCCCUUGCUCCCGCGCGUCGAACGGUGGUGGUGGCCGAGCCUGGGGUGGCCGGUACCGUCGACGGCGAGCUCGUGAGCGGCGGCCGGAGUUCGGGUGCGGUCGGAGUCGGCGUUGCAGGGUGUUUGGGGAGGCGUUGGUGCGUGCUGCGUGCUCCUAGUGAGGCGUGGAGCACGAUAGUGUGCUCGGUUGGGCGCUACGGUGACCGUGGCCACGACGGCGACAUCGCCGGCGGCGUGGAGCUCUCGGCCAAGGUGGGGCUAAGGCCUAGAGGUCGAAAGAGACCAGGGGAGAAGGGGGAAACGACUCGGGGGCUCACCGCGGUUGCAGUGGGCGUUGAAGCGGGCUCGGAGAUGCGCUGGAGACGGCGAAUUCGACGGCGAUGAUGGUCGGAGCCCGAAGGGGGGAACGGCGACGUGGCGGCGAUGCAGGGCUUCCGGAGGCCCGUGGAGCGGUGGGGAGGAAGAGGGGGUUGUGGCGGAGCUUCUGAGCUAGUCGGGGGAGCGAGGGGUGGCCGGAGACGGCUGCUAUGGCGAACGGCGGCGACGGUGAUGUUCGGCCGUGUGGGAGAGAGAGCGAGGGAGAGGAGGGAAGAGCCGAGGGCGAGUGAGAGAGAGCAGGGGGGGAGGCGUGGCGUCGUCCGGGGCAUCGAGCGAGGAGGGGAGGGCAGGCAAGCAGGGAGAGAGGUGGCGUGGCGCGGUGGCGCGCGCGCGCGCCGGCCACACUCCCCUCCCUCUGUCGAGGACGAAGACGACAGAGGAGGGAGGUGGGCUGGGCCGGCUGCUGGCUGGGCCGGCCAGCUGGCUGGGCUGCACAGGGAGGAGCCCAGGUAAGCUUCUCCCUUUUAUUUUUUUUCUGUUUUCUAAUUUCUGACAUUUGUUUUGAUUUAAAUAAUAUAUUAAAUCAUUUAUUUAACUUAUGCCAAUUUUUGCAGGGGCUAGAUAUAUUAUUUCAGAGCUCCUUUAUAAAUGGCAUAAUAUUUGGACAUAUAUUAAUAUAUAUAAUUAAUAUAUUUCCAAAGUAAAAAUUUAUGCAUUAAUUCCAAAUGCCCAAAAUAAAUACCUAUGAGCUCUUAAAAGUAUUGGUUUGAUUAUUAUCUCUGUCCAAUAUUUUCAGAGAGCAACAUGAGCAUUUUCUUGGACCCUUUUGGAGAAAUUUUUAUUUGGGUCAUUUUCAAAAUGAUUCUGAGGGUUUCACAAAUCCCCAUUUCAAUUUAAAUGGAAUUUUAAACAUGAUGCACACACUCUGAUGCAUGACUAGCUAGGGUGUGACAGCUGGUUCCAGUGGCAAGCAGCCGCGGGCAUCAUCAGGCCCCGACCUUCCCGAGGCUCUCUUGGCAGAUUUCGACGACGUCUUUGCUGCCCCAUCGGCCUGCCCCCGCCACGAUCACAUGACCACCACAUUCAUCUCCUUCCAGGAACUCCACCGAUUGCAGUGCAGCCAUAUCGCUACCCACUGACAUAGAAGGACAAGUUGGAGUCCCAAUGUAGUACCAUGGAAGCCCAGGGCAUCAUUUGACGUAGGACAUCGCCCUUUUCGGCUCCAGUUCUACUUGUCAAAAAGGCUGAUGGUUCAUGGCGCCUUUGUGUUGACUAUAGGGCGCUGAAUGACCGCACCAUCAAAGAUAAGUUCCCUAUUCCUAUAGUCGAGGAGCUGCUGGAUGAGCUGCAUGGUGCACGCUUCUUCUCCAAGUUGGACCUUUGCUCGGGGUAUCACCAAGUCCGCAUGCAUCCGGCCGAUGUUGAAAAGACAUGCCACCAUCGUCAGCCUCAUGGGAGGACUUGCACUAGUUUCAGGAGAGCUACCCUUCUUUUCAGCUCGCGGACGAGCUGUUGCUCCAGGGGGGGAGGGGGAGAUGUUAUGUGGGGCCGUCACUAUGAAAAGAGAAAGAAGGACUCGGCAACAACAGAGUCCAGAUAGAUUACAGCAAAGUUUGUUAGGAAACCUAAGUUUGUUAGGAGAGUCGGUUUGGUCUAGAAUAUGAGAUAUUGAGUUUGUUAGGGCUGGACUAUUCUGUUGCCCAUAACAGAAUAUUAUUCUGUUACCCCUGGCCACUAUAUACAGCGCCCUCCAUCAGAAACGAGAAAACCAACCCAAAAAGAAAAACUCUUAUCCACUCCCACCCUGCAGCCUCCCGAUUCUUCUCCACCUUCCACCGUCGGGCGUCGUCCCCCGCAACUCCGGCGGCCUCCUUCCCCUGCUCAGGCUGCCUCCCUCCCCAGCUCCGGCCGCCUCCCUUCCCAGUGUCGGCCUCCUCCCUCCCCAGCGCCGGCCUCCUCCCCAGCGUGUCGCCGGCCGACCUCCCUCCCAGCGUGCCGCCAGCCGGCCUCUUCCCAGCGCGCCUCCGGCCGACCUUGCCUCAAGCGCGCCGCCACGACGGCCCUCGCCGCCACCACCACCUCCCACCGCAACCACCACCACCACCUCCCACCGCAACCACCACCACCUUCUCAUCCUCGUGAGCCCACGCCCGUCACUCCCCACGAACCCCGCCGCCUCCAUCCCUCCUACACCGGCGCCGCCCUUACCUCGCGACGACAGCCGCCCUCCCUCGCGCCGGCAGCCGCCCUCCCUCGCGCGCCGGCCUCCUCCACCUUCACGCUCAGGACGCCUUCCUUCCUGCGCUCCGGUCGCCUUCCUCCUCGCGCGCCGGCCUCCUCCCUACCCCGCGCUCUGUCUGCCUUUCUUCCCGUGCUCCGACCGUCUUCCUCCCCGCGCUCUGGCCGCCUUCCUCCCCGCGCUCCGGCCUCCUUCCUCCCUGCAAUCAGUUCGCCUCCCUCCCCACGCUCCGUCCACCUUCCUCCCCGAGAUCCAUCCGCCUUCUCCCCUGAGAUCCCACGGCCGUACCGCCACCGGCCAACCCCUCCAUCUGUAAGUAAGGGCACUGGGCCGCCCUCCACGCCGGGGUGGCCCUGCUAGCCAUCAGCGGGGGAAGCGAAGUGGCUGCCAUGGCGGGGGUGGAGACGAGUUCGUCCUGGGCGUGCGCAUCCUCGGGAAGUCCAUCUGCAAUAUGGGCACCUCGCAGUGACCUCAUAGUGCUCGUCCUAGACUACUCUCCGAAGCCAUCGAGGUAUGCGUGCACAUCUGCACAUCUGCACAUCUGCACAUCGAGGUAUUGCUAGGAGAUGGGUGCAAGAAAGAACCAAUUUAUUUUGCAUUCAAUCGCCAUUGGAGUUGGUCUUGUGCACCACAAAAUUAACUUUCUGAAGCUACCUCUAUGGUUAAUAAAAGCACAUGAGCAUCCUUCUACGUAGUAAGUUCAUAGUCAAGAAGACAGGGAGUUCAGAAAAGAACGUGAACACUGAAAGACCAUAAAAAACCAAAAACCUACAUUAGGGGAGUUCUUCAAGAAGUUCGUGGCUAGCCGGCCGUGUUGUGUGUUCUUGUCAGUUCAUUGUAAGAAGACAAGUAAUUAGUUUAUAUAUCUAGCCUGGCGUGUUGUGUAUUCUGGUCAGUUCGUGUUUGUGUAUGUGUUUCCCUUGUGGCGUAUGAGAGGAAGCCGCUGAUCUGGUCCAGGCAUGCUCCUAUUCUCUCUUUUCGGUAGCACAAACAUUUAAAAGUUUGAUCGCUAGACCCCGGUAAGUUCUGCUUGACAAAACCUCCUCUCUCAUAUUUGUUCCUAUUUUGUAGGUUGCAGCAAAAAAAAGAUGCACAAGUUCAUAUUUUGUAUGCUUUUCGGUUCAUCUACUUCCCUGUGAUGAGUCCGAUUUCCUUUGUGUUUCAUCUUCUUCAUAUAGCACAAACAAGUGCUUGUGGUUAUGCUUGUAGUUAUGCGUAGUCCAUGGGUUCUAGUAUUUGAUUACAGUCAGGCCACGAGUUAGUAUUGUGGUACUCCGUUGCAAGAAAAAAGGGUUGUCGGUUCAGUUAUAGGCACCCAACUCUGAAGAUUUUGAAUUUUUAGCAUGGUAUUUUAAGUUUGUUUUUUAUCAUAUAAUGUAAAAUUGUAAACAUGUUUCCAACGGUCUUUGCUCCCAGUUCUGAACUUUUUAUUCAGUCUGCUAGUACAGUCGUCGUGGUCGCCACCCCGACGCCUAGCCUGCCAACCCGCGUCGCGUUGCCCCGGGACCCCCGAGCACUGCCGCGCCCCGUCGCCGGUGCCUCACGGUGAGGGCCAGCGUCUUUGCCCGACAAAGCAGGCUACCAUCCCUCCAUUGACAAUGCGCAUGUCCAGCCGUUGCUGCAUCUCUUUCUGCCCGUGGAUGCUCGUGUGCUAUAAUUGCUUUCUCCCCUUCCUGUACAUGCUGCUACUCACCUUUUUAUCUCUCUGAUGCGUUGUGUUGCACUACUGCAGCUCGAUCUAGGAGGUGCUGGCUCAUGCUGGCUGGAACUAGGAUGCAACAGGGUUGAUGGAUCCAUGCCGCACAAGCACCUGUGCUCUGCUUUCUUCUUACUUUGUGUUCUAAUUUGCUUUCUUCUUAUUUUAAGUUUGCGAGAUGCAAAAAGAAGUUAAAAAAAUGUUGUGCCUGGAGUGAAUAUUAUUUGCUACCCCAUGAUGUACGUCUAUAGUUUCUCCCUCCAAAUGUGUUGGUCCAUGUGGUUGUAUUUUCUGUUUUUUUGUUUUGGAUCUACGAAAAAGGUUAUUGAAGCUCAAAUGUGAUAAGCACAUAAGUUCAGAUCUCUAAUGCUACAAAGUUCACGUAUACCUCUCUGUUUUAAUCAUGGCCUACAAAUUUUGCACUACGAGAAAGUUCAGAGGCAAGAACGUAGAAAAUAAAGAACACAAAAAUAUCAACAAAAAAUUCACUAGGAGAAAAGUUUAAGUCAGGAUAUGCAAGAAAAGCUCUUAUUUUAUUUCAGUUCAAUUUCAAAUUCUAGUUAAGUUUCAUUUCUUAUUUUAAUUUAGUCUAGUUUCUUAUUUUAGUUUAGUUCAAUAUCUAAUUUUUGUUCAGUUCAAUUCUUAUUUUAGAAAGAAAUUGAAUUGUUUCUUUGUCUACAUUCUUCUAUUCAACAUCAGGGAGAAGGUGCCUCAUGGUAAAAGCGUGCCAAGAUUUUCUAGGUACCCAGACCCAUCCCAUCCUCUAUACAGAUUUUAGAGUUUAACACAUCAAUGGAAGUUUGUUCUCAAAACUGAAAUUGUUCUGCAUGUACUGAAACUAGUUGUUAAUUGUUGGAGUGUUUCGUUCUUGCAGAAUAAAAAUAAGAUGUAUGCAUUGCUUCUUGGCCCAGCUUGAGAGAACCCUCAUGUUAAAAAGUAUAAAGCAGUUUUGAAGCAACUCCUAGUGUCUUUAGAAGCAUUCAUGGUUAAAAAGCAACGACAACCUCAUCCAUUCAAGUUGAGCACUGGUCAUCGUCCAAGUUGAGCACUAGGUGCCGGCCAAGUUAAAAAAGAGUAGUAUGCAAGUAUAGAAGUUUGUUUUAGUGAGAAAAAUGCAUACUGUCUUCUAUAACUCGUUUCACUUCACGAUUUCUUCACUAGUUUGUUGUUUCCUAAUUAUCCUAAUUCCUAAUUGUUCUACUCAACUUUAGCGCCAUGCUCAGUACAACACCGUGGCUUCAGGGUGGCCGAGUUCGUCGCGACCAUCAGUUAAGAGACCUGCAUCACUGCGCGUGUCGCUACCAUGGCCCCCUUGUGUCACUGCGUGCUUCGUCAACAAGCCUCCUGCACAUGGAAAAGCAACAGGAGUCUGAGAUGCUCUGUUCUAGUGAGGUGGCUGAUUAUGUUAGUUUGUAAUACUUUGGCCGCGGUGUACUUAUGUAUCUUUUUCUGGCCGGAGCACGACCAGAGCUUAUGUCAGUACGAACUUUGAUUGUGAUGGUAAUACAAACUCUAUAGGGUACUUACCUUUUAUACAAUUCACAUGGAUUGUGCCCCUAUUACCAUGUGGUACAAAAAUGCACUAUGCUCACCAUUUUAUUUUAGUUCAUCAGUUUGUAAUACUUUAAAAAGAGGAGGUAAAAGUGAACCAUUCGGUUUUGUAUUAUAAAAAGUGUUAAUGUGAGAAACUUCAAAAAUAUCUUGUUUAAUAAGUUCUGCUUGUCCCGUGUAUAGUAUUUAUUGAGCUAAAAAUGGUAUGGUUCAUACAUUCUCGUCGAUCUCGUUGUAAUCGUCCUUGUUUUUGUGAGUUUCCUGAUGCAAGUUUUGUGGUCAGUCCAGAUGGGAGAGGGUGAUCCAUUCAAAAUGUAAUUAUGUGACAUUGACAUUCAAG
rnacentral:lncRNA from 1 species